GGGAUUGCCUCAGUAACGGCGAGUGAAGCGGCAACAGCUCAAAUUUGAAAUCUGGCCCUUUCGGGGUCCGAGUUGUAAUUUGUAGAGAGUGUUUCGGGCGAGACCACGGUCUAAGUCCAUUGGAACAUGGCGUCAUAGAGGGUGAGAAUCCCGUCUGCGACCGUGGCUCGAGCCCAUGUGAAGCCUCUUCGACGAGUCGAGUUGUUUGGGAAUGCAGCUCAAAAUGGGUGGUAAAUUUCAUCUAAAGCUAAAUACUGGCUGGAGACCGAUAGCGCACAAGUAGAGUGAUCGAAAGAUGAAAAGCACUUUGGAAAGAGAGUUAAACAGUACGUGAAAUUGUUGAAAGGGAAGCGCUUGCAACCAGACCUGUCCGUAGG
rnacentral:rRNA from 1 species